UUAUUGAAACUUUGCACAUCGACUCUAGACCCUGAAAGGAUGAUAAUAGAAGAAAAACAAUUUCGAUAUAUCAAAGGGGCGUGGCACCUCCCAUACAAACCGAAGCUUUCACACAAUAUAUCUCUGGAAGUAUUCAUCGUAGAGUGCUGCAACUUAGCACACAGAUAUACAAUAUCAACGCCAAACUCACGGAAAAAAUGGGAGUUAUUGAAAAAGGGGGCGUGGCACCCUCCAUACAAACUG